UACGUAGGGUGCAAGCGUUAAUCGGAAUUACUGGGCGUAAAGCGUGCGCAGGCGGUUUUGCAAGACAGAUGUGAAAUCCCCGGGCUCAACCCGGGAACUGCGUCCGAUACUGGCAGGCUUGAAUUCGGGAGAGGGAUGUGGAAUUCCAGGUGUAGCGGUGAAAUGCGUAGAUAUCUGGAGGAACACCGGUGGCGAAGGCGGCAUCCUGGGUUAACACUGACGCUCAGGCACGAAAGCGUGGGGAGCAAACAGG
rnacentral:rRNA from 1 species